CCCCUUUGUGGGGUUUUUCCCAUUUCCUGCACGGUUCUCUUUCCCAUCUUCUGUUGGUGUUGUUGCUAAUGAUGAAGGCAAAAUGGUGUCAUCCACUAUAAUCUUCACUGCGAUAUCCUUAGCAUUAACUGCCCUAAGAUUCACACGUGGAGAUGAAAUAGGCUCUCCAAGAUUGCCCGACUUAUCCUCUUUACUUGAACUUCUCCGGAAGAGCGAGCUGAUCUUAU